CCUACGGGUGGCAGCAGUGAGGAAUAUUGGUCAAUGGGCGCGAGCCUGAACCAGCCAAGUCGCGUGAGGGAAGACGGUCCUAUGGAUUGUAAACCUCUUUUGUCGGGGAGCAAAAGACGCCACGCGUGGCGUUCCGAGAGUACCCUAAGAACAAGCAUCGGCUAACUCCGUGCCAGCAGCCGCGGUAAUACGGAGGAUGCGAGCGUUAUCCGGAUUUAUUGGGGUUAAAGGGUGCGCAGGCGGAAGAAUAAGUCAGCGGUAAAAUUGAGAGGCUCAACCUCUUCGAGCCGUUGAAACUGGUGUUCUUGAGUGAGCGAGAAGUAGGCGGAAUGCGUGGAGUAGCGGUGAAAUGCAUAGAUAUCACGCAGAACUCCGAUAGCGAAGGCAGCAUACCGGAGCGCAACUGACGCUCAUGCACGAAAGUGUGGGUAUCGAACAGGAUUAGAUACCCCUGUAGUC
rnacentral:rRNA from 1 species